UAUCUUUUACCAGUAUUUGGGGACUUAUUGGGGAUUCCUUUGAUAAUUUCAGGAAGAAAGAAGUGGAAUGGAAGGAGCCAGUAACUGUCCCAGGUCAGAAAACGCCUCUGAAAAGGAUCUACAUUACACCCAAAGUUCAUUGGAUAACUGCACCCUCAACAAUCAGGAGACAAUAAGUGGUGUAGACAGAGCUAAUAUCUUCCCCAAAUCAGAUGGUACCUCUGAAGACAUUCAGCAUUCCACAGACUGUUCACAGGUUGAGACUUUCCACAUUCAGGAGACAAUAAGUGGUACGAACCAAGCCAGUAACUGCCCCAAAUCAGAUGGUGCCUCUGAAGACAAUCAGCAUUGCACAGACAGUUCACAGCAUGACAGUAUCUUCCACAUUCAGGAGACAAUAAAGGGUAUGAACCAAGCCAGUAACUGCCCCAAAUCAGAUGGUGCCUCUGAAGACAAUCAGCAUUGCACAGACAGUCCACAGCAUGACAGUAUCUUCCACAUUCAGGAGACAAUAAAGGGUAUGAACCAAGCCAGUAACUGCCCCAAAUCAGAUGGUGCCUCUGAAGACAAUCAGCAUUGCACAGACAGUCCACAGCAUGACAGUAUCUUCCACAUUCAGGAGACAAUAAAGGGUAUGAACCAAGCCAGUAACUGCCCCAAAUCAGAUGGUGCCUCUGAAGACAAUCAGCAUUGCACAGACAGUUCACAGCAUGACAGUAUCUUCCACAUUCAGGAGACAAUAAAGGGUACGAACCAAGUCAGUAACUGCCCCAAAUCAGAUGGUGCCUCUGAAGACAAUCAGCAUUGCACAGACAGUUCACAGCAUGACAGUAUCUUCCACAUUCAGGAGACAAUAAAGGGUAUGAACCAAGCCAGUAACUGCCCCAAAUCAGAUGGUGCCUCUGAAGACAAUCAGCAUUGCACAGACCGUCCACAGCAUGACAGUAUCUUCCACAUUCAGUGGCUCUUGAUGUAGAACCACCCAUAGAUCCUUCUGCAAAAGAAGUCCAGAAAUCUUCAAUUGAACAAGCAACAGAAAUAACAAGUACCACAACUACCAUGAAAGGUACUGUUUGUUAAACUUCAUAGAAAGCCUUUAUGAACUUAAAAAUCUCUGUUUUUUCUGAUGUGCUUUGUUCAUUCAGGUCGAAAGGUGGUAAAGAAAAAGAAAUGGGACAGUGAUGAAAUGAAUGCAGUUGAAAAGCAUCUAAACAGGUUCAUCAAAACUUGUACAGUGCCAGGAAAACAACAAUGUGAGGCCUGUAUAAAUGCUGAACCUGUUGCCUUGAAAGACAGGGAUUGGUUGUCUGUAAAGUUCUUUGUGAAGAACAAAAUCACUACCCUUAAAAGAAGAAUGUAAAGUCAGUUAUUUUAUUUUGUUUGGUAUCUUAUUUUCUGGUAUUUUAGAUUUCUGGUUAUUACAUUUGUUUUAAAAGGAUCUUAGAAUCUCUUUUUUUUUUUUUUGGAAAUGGGUGCAAUUCAGUAAAGUGUCUUUGAAUCGAAUGUAAAUAUGUACAGAAUACUGUUCAGAAUGCUACAUAAAAAUAGCAAAUUUUUGUUAUUAAAUUUUGUUAUUAAAUUUUGAUCUUUUCAUUCAUUAUAGCUGCAUCCCAGCUGUUUCGUCCCCAUGUUGUUCACAAGUACCUACAUCUUACAGUUAACCAGACAGUUCACUAUGUGUGUCUGCUGGUCCUCACAAGUGAUGUCUACCAGACAAGGUCCCCAGUUUGUAGGAAAAUGUCACAUUGCUUUAUUAAUGUAUUUUCUAUAUUUUAAAGUGACAGUCAUUUUUAAAGCCUCAAAUGAAACAUAAAUCUAUCUUUAGAUUUUUCAUAAAGCCUUUAGAAAUGCACGUCCCCACGAUGUGGCAUCGUGCAUGUAGUCCCCAAAUUGCGGCUACACAAGUAUGUGUGUGUGUGUGUGUGUGUGUGUGUGUGAGGGAACAAAUCUCAAUGCCUAUGGGGGCGCUUUGCCAU
ensembl:lncRNA